AGAUCUUAAUAUUUCAAUCUUGAUGUCACAUACCUUUCUCAUCUCAAAUUACAAAAAAAAUAAUAAAAUUAGAAAAAUCAGCUUAAACCAAAAACCCAAAAAAAUUAAAAUUAAUAUGUUUUAAGGUGUUGGAUGCCCAAAUUUUAGUCAUGGUUCUUUUCUACCCAAUCUGAUCUUCCUAAUGUGAACUCCAAGCUAGGGUUUUUCUGAUCCAAA
rnacentral:misc_RNA from 1 species